rnacentral:rRNA from 1 species
GAUGAACGCUGGCGGCGUGCCUAAUACAUGCAAGUCGAGCGAACAGACGAUGAGCUUGCUCCUUUGACGUUAGCGGCGGACGGGUGAGUAACACGUGGAUAACCUACUUAUAAGACUGGGAUAACUUCGGGAAACCGGAGCUAAUACCGGAUAAUAUAUUGAACCGCAUGGUUCAAUAGUGAAAGACGGUUUUGCUGUCACUUAUAGAUGGAUCCGCGCCGCAUUAGCUAGUUGGUAAGGUAACGGCUUACCAAGGCAACGAUGCGUAGCCGACCUGAGGGGGUGAUCGGCCACACUGGAACUGAGACACGGUCCAGACUCCUACGGGAGGCAGCAGUAGGGAAUCUUCCGCAAUGGGCGAAAGCCUGACGGAGCAACGCCGCGUGAGUGAUGAAGGUCUUCGGAUCGUAAAACUCUGUUAUUAGGGAAGAACAAAUGUGUAAGUAACUAUGCACGUCUUGACGGUAACUAAUCAGAAAGCCACGGCUAACUACGUG